AAUAAAUGCAUUUUAGAAUAUUUUGGUCAGUUUAGUCAGCUUUUUCAUUGAAUCAAAAGAAACACUGAAAGGAAGGAUAAUGGUACAGUCUCCAUGCUGUACUAAUAAUAGUAUGUAGAAAGGCUUUCCUCUGUGUACACAUAUCCUUUACAAGUAUAAUUGUGGCUGUAUUAUUUGUAUCCCCUUCUAAA